rnacentral:rRNA from 1 species
GAGAGGAGUGGCGGACGGGUGAGUAACACGUGGGUAACCUACCCAUCAGAGGGGGAUCACACUUGGAAACAUGUGCUAACACCGCAUAACUUUUUAUGCCGCAAGGCAUAAGAGUGAAAGGCGCUUUCGGGUGUCGCUGAUGGAUGGACCCGCGGUGCAAUAGCUAGUUGGUGAGGUAACGGCUCACCAAGGCCACGAUGCAUAGCCCACCUGAGAGGGUGAUCGGCCACUCUGGGACUGAGACACGGCCCAGACUCCUACGGGAGGCAGCAAUAGGGAAUCUUCGGCUGUGGACGAAAGUCUGACCGAGCAACGCCGCGUGAGUGAAGAAUGUUUUCGGAUCGUAACACUCUGUUGUUAGAGAAGAACAAGGACGUUUGUCACUGCACGUCCCCUGACUGUAUCUAACCAGAAAGCCACGGCUAACUACGUGCCAACAGCCGCGGUAAUAUGUAUGUGACAAGCGUUGUCCGGAUUUAUUGCGCGUAAAGCGAGCGCAGCUGUUUCAUAUCUCUGAU